UACAUGGGGUGCAAACGUUGCUCGGAAUUCUUGGGCGUAAAGCGCGCGUAGGCUGUUACUCAAGUCGGAUGUGAAAGCCCUCGGCUUAACUGAGGAAGUGCACCCGAAACUGAGUAGCUAGAGUACCAAAGAGGGUCGCGGAAUUCCCGGUGUAGAGGUGAAAUUCGUAGAUAUCGGGAGGAACACCGGUGGCGAAGGCGGCGACCUGGGUGGAUACUGACGCUGAGGCGCGAAAGCGUGGGGAGCAAACAGG
rnacentral:rRNA from 1 species